GAAGGACGAAACAAUCUCUGAGCUCCAGGAGCUCAUAGUCCAAUGGAGAGAGAACAAAUGCAUAUCUUUCUCAACUGUAUCACCUACCUUGAAGCAUUUUCAUGAAGAUCAAAUGAUCUAAUAUUUGUAAAGCACUCAACACAGUGCCUGGCACAUGGUAAGUGCUAUAUUAAAUUCUUAUUUACCCCAUCCCCUCAUUUGUAU
rnacentral:lncRNA from 1 species